GAUGAACGCUGGCGGCGUGCCUAAUACAUGCAAGUCGAGCGAACAGACGAGGCGCUUGCUCCUCUGACGUUAGCGGCGGACGGGUGAGUAACACGUGGAUAACCUACCUAUAAGACUGGGAUAACUUCGGGAAACCGGAGCUAAUACCGGAUAAUAUCUUGCACCGCAUGGUUCAAUAGUGAAAGACGGUUUUGCUGGCACUUCUAGCUGGAUCCGCGCCGCAUUAGCUAGUUGGUAAGGUAAAGGCUUACCAAGGCAAGGAUGCGUAGCCGAAGUGAUAGGGUGAUAGGCGACACGGGAACUGAGACACGGACCAGACGCCUACGGGAGGCAGCAGUAGGGAAUCGGCCGCAAUGGGCGAGAGCUUGACGGAGCAACGCCGCGUGAGUGAUGAAGGUCUUCGGAUCGUAAAACUCUGUUAUUAGGUAAGAACAAAUGUGUAAGUAACUAUGCACGGCUUGACGGUACCGAAUCAGAAAGCCACGGCUAACUACGUG
rnacentral:rRNA from 1 species